rnacentral:misc_RNA from 1 species
AAAAUGCGAUACGUAAUGCGAAUUGCAGAAUUCAGUGAAUCAUCAAAUCUUUGAACGCAAAUUGCGCUCUCGGGAUAGGCCUGGGAGCACGCCUCUUUGAGUAUCGAUUCCAACACAACUCGAACGCCUGCUUUUUGAUUGUAUCUCAAAGCAGCUUCGGAUACUGAGCCUUCUCGCGACUUUUGCGAGAGGCUUCAAAACGAGCGAGUGAAUAGGAGUCUGUCUGAUCGCAGACGUUGUCUCCGGUGACGAGGAUAACUUCACAUUCAGUUGUGAACCCUUCCAUCGUGACUGUCGAGCAGUGUUUCCUUCGGAACAGCCUCUGUACAUUCACGGACCUCUUUGUUUCGCGCAAGUGGACAAAGAACUCUUUGAAUUAGAUCUCAAAUGAAGCGAGAAA